rnacentral:rRNA from 1 species
AUUGAACGCUGGCGGCAGGCCUAACACAUGCCAGUCGAGCGGAUGAAGGGAGCUUGCUCCUGGAUUCAGCGGCGGACGGGUGAGUAAUGCCUAGGAAUCUGCCUGGUAGUGGGGGAUAACGUCCGGAAACGGGCGCUAAUACCGCAUACGUCCUGAGGGAGAAAGUGGGGGAUCUUCGGACCUCACGCUAUCAGAUGAGCCUAGGUCGGAUUAGCUAGUUGGUGGGGUAAAGGCCUACCAAGGCGACGAUCCGUAACUGGUCUGAGAGGAUGAUCAGUCACACUGGAACUGAGACAGGGUCCAGACUCCUACGGGAGGCAGCAGUGGGGAAUAUUAGACAAUGGGCGAAAGCCUGAUCCAGCCAUGCCGCGUGUGUGAAGAAGGUCUUCGGAUUGUAAAGCACUUUAAGUUGGGAGGAAGGGCAGUAAGUUAAUACCUUGCUGUUUUGACGUUACCAACAGAAUAAGCACCGGCUAACUUCGUG